UGGGGAAUUUUGGACAAUGGGCGAAAGCCUGAUCCAGCAAUGCCGCGUGUGUGAAGAAGGCCUUCGGGUUGUAAAGCGCUUUUGUCCGGAAAGAAAUCCUUGGCUCUAAUACAGUCGGGGGAUGACGGUACCGGAAGAAUAAGCACCGGCUAACUACGUGCCAGCAGCCGCGGUAAUACGUAGGGUGCAAGCGUUAAUCGGAAUUACUGGGCGUAAAGCGUGCGCAGGCGGUUUGCUAAGACCGAUGUGAAAUCCCCGGGCUCAACCUGGGAACUGCAUUGGUGACUGGCAGGCUAGAGUAUGGCAGAGGGGGGUAGAAUUCCACGUGUAGCAGUGAAAUGCGUAGAGAUGUGGAGGAAUACCGAUGGCGAAGGCAGCCCCCUGGGCCAAAUACUGACGCUCAUGCACGAAAGCGUGGGGAGCAAAACAGGAUUAGAUACCCUGGUAGUCCACGCCCUAAAACGAUGUCAACUAGUUGUUGGGGGAUUCAUUUCCUUAGUAACGUAGCUAACGCGUGAAGUUGACCGCCUGGGGAGUACGGUCGCAAGAUUAAAACUCAAAUGAAUUGACGGGGUCAUAGCUGUUUCCU
rnacentral:rRNA from 1 species